rnacentral:rRNA from 1 species
UACGUAGGGGGCAAGCGUUGUCCGGAAUCAUUGGGCGUAAAGCGCGUGUAGGCGGCUUCGUAAGUCCGUUGUGAAAGUCCAGGGCUCAACCCUGGAAUGCCGAUGGAUACUGCGGAGCUAGAGUCCGGAAGAGGCGAGUGGAAUUCCUGGUGUAGCGGUGAAAUGCGCAGAUAUCAGGAGGAACACCGGUGGCGAAGGCGGGUCUCUGGGCCGAUAUUGACGCUGAGGAGCGAAAGCGUGGGGAGCGAACAGG